GAUGAACGCUGGCGGCGUGCCUAAUACAUGCAAGUCGAGCGAACGGACGAGAAGCUUGCUUCUCUGAUGUUAGCGGCGGACGGGUGAGUAACACGUGGAUAACCUACCUAUAAGACUGGGAUAACUUCGGGAAACCGGAGCUAAUACCGGAUAAUAUUUUGAACCGCAUGGUUCAAAAGUGAAAGACGAUCUUGCUGUCACUUAUAGAUGGAUCCGCGCUGCAUUAGCUAGUUGGUAAGGUAACGGCUUACCAAGGCAACGAUGCAUAGCCGACCUGAGAGGGUGAUCGGCCACACUGGAACUGAGACACAGUCCAGACUCCUAUGGGAGGCAGCAGUAGGGAAUCUUCCGCAAUGGGCGAAAGCCUGACGGAGCAACGCCGCGUGAGUGAAGAAGGUCUUCGGAUCGUAAAACUCUGUUAUUAGGGAAGAACAAAUGUGUAAGUAACUAUGCACGUCUUGACGGUACCUAAUCAGAAAGCCACGGCUAACUACGUGCCAGCAGCCGCGGUAAUACGUAGGUGGCAAGCGUUAUCCGGAAUUAUUGGGCGUAAAGCGCGCGUAGGCGGUUUUUUAAGUCUGAUGUGAAAGCCCACGGCUCAACCGUGGAGGGUCAUUGGAAACUGGAAAACUUGAGUGCAGAAGAGGAAAGUGGAAUUCCAUGUGUAGCGGUGAAAUGCGCAGAGAUAUGGAGGAACACCAGUGGCGAAGGCGACUUUCUGGUCUGUAACUGACGCUGAUGUGCGAAAGCGUGGGGAUCAAACAGGAUUAGAUACCCUGGUAGUCCACGCCGUAAACGAUGAGUGCUAAGUGUUAGGGGGUUUCCGCCCCUUAGUGCUGCAGCUAACGCAUUAAGCACUCCGCCUGGGGAGUACGACCGCAAGGUUGAAACUCAAAGGAAUUGACGGGGACCCGCACAAGCGGUGGAGCAUGUGGUUUAAUUCGAAGCAACGCGAAGAACCUUACCAAAUCUUGACAUCCUCUGACCCCUCUAGAGAUAGAGUUUUCCCCUUCGGGGGACAGAGUGACAGGUGGUGCAUGGUUGUCGUCAGCUCGUGUCGUGAGAUGUUGGGUUAAGUCCCGCAACGAGCGCAACCCUUAAGCUUAGUUGCCAUCAUUAAGUUGGGCACUCUAAGUUGACUGCCGGUGACAAACCGGAGGAAGGUGGGGAUGACGUCAAAUCAUCAUGCCCCUUAUGAUUUGGGCUACACACGUGCUACAAUGAACAAUACAAAGGGUAGCGAAAUCGCGAGGUCAAGCAAAUCCCAUAAAGUUGUUCUCAGUUCGGAUUGUAGUCUGCAACUCGACUACAUGAAGCUGGAAUCGCUAGUAAUCGUAGAUCAACAUGCUACGGUGAAUACGUUCCCGGGUCU
rnacentral:rRNA from 1 species